rnacentral:ncRNA from 1 species
AGAAAACUUAAGAUUACAGGUGCCUCAGUUAAGAGGAGAAUAAGGGAAGUCGGUGUAAGUCCGGCGCGGUCCCGCCACUGUAAACGGGGAGCAAGAAGUUUAGCCACGGGGUAGUUCCCGGAAGGUACUUCAGCGUGUUGAUCCGUAAGCCAGGAGACCUGCCUGUAGUUUGCUAAAAGCC